rnacentral:rRNA from 2 species
UGGGGAAUAUUGCACAAUGGGCGAAAGCCUGAUGCAGCGACGCCGCGUGAGGGAUGACGGCCUUCGGGUUGUAAACCUCUUUCAGCACGGAAGAAGCGAAAGUGACGGUACGUGCAGAAGAAGCGCCGGCUAACUACGUGCCAGCAGCCGCGGUAAUACGUAGGGCGCAAGCGUUGUCCGGAAUUAUUGGGCGUAAAGAGCUCGUAGGCGGUUUGUCGCGUCUGCUGUGAAAGCCCGGGGCUUAACCCCGGGUGUGCAGUGGGUACGGGCAGACUUGAGUGCAGUAGGGGAGACUGGAAUUCCUGGUGUAGCGGUGAAAUGCGCAGAUAUCAGGAGGAACACCGAUGGCGAAGGCAGGUCUCUGGGCUGUUACUGACGCUGAGGAGCGAAAGCAUGGGGAGCGAACA